CACGUAGGGUGCGAGCGUUGUCCGGAUUUAUUGGGCGUAAAGAGCUCGUAGGCGGUUCGGUAAGUCGGGUGUGAAAACUUUGGGCUCAACCCAAAGCCUGCACUCGAUACUGCUGUGACUUGAGUCCGGUAGGGGAGUGGGGAAUUCCUGGUGUAGCGGUGGAAUGCGCAGAUAUCAGGAGGAACACCGGUGGCGAAGGCGCCACUCUGGC
rnacentral:rRNA from 1 species